rnacentral:lncRNA from 1 species
AUUUCACAAACUACACGGGAAUGAUAUUAAUCAUCACGGUUGUCAUACUUGUCAGUACUUUGGUACUGGCGAUAGUGGCGAUCCUCACGCAAAUCAAAACCUUGUGGGUCAUAUUUGCUGCGUUAAUGACACUUCUGUUAUCCGUGUACCUGUUCUAUGAUACUCAACUUCUCAUGGGCGGACGUAGCAUCGAACUCAAUCCGGAUGAAUAUGUUUACGCUGCGGUGCAAAUAUACGUUGACAUCAUUCUGAUAUUCAGGUACAUAUUGAUGUGCCUGGGUUGCAUGGGGGAUUCGUAGGAAGCCAUUAACCAAGGGGGGCUAUCGCGGUAGAUGUACGACGUUUUCACCGAUUACAUUUAACUACGAAUAUUAAUUCCGAGUUUUCCGGUUCCUUGGAAUAAUCAUAUCAAAAUGUUGUAAGAAUCCAAGCACUGUCCGUAGAAAUCAGUUUGUUUACCACAAUGUAUACCGUCGUGAGUUUAAUGUCAACUGCGAUUUACUUUCGUUGUAAAUAUAUGUACCUCAAGUUCGGACACGUGCAAGAUAUAUCGAGCGUUAUAUUUAUUCGUAUCAAGACCGUAAGAAUAUAGUCACAGUAUCUGCGGUAGACAGAAUUUUUUAUACGCGUGUCGAAUUAUAGGACGUGAAAUUAAUAACACGCCGAGAUUUAUUAAUAGGAAAUAAUGUUUAUUAUACAGUUUACAUUUGUAAUUAACUUCAUUUAUUUGACUUCUGUUAUAAAUUUUACCUUAAUAAUUAUAUAUUAUAUGCCUUUGCCGAACGACGAAUGCUUUCAUCAAUGUGCGUUUAGACUAUAACAAUCUUCGUUAAAAGCAAGAACUUCUUCUCCGAAAUAUGUCGUUCACGUGAUAAUCCUUUAAAGAAUCGUCAAAAUGCGUCGCACUGAAAACUGCAUGAAAUCGCUCGGCAUACAAAUAAUAUACGUAGUACUGUCGACGUAAUUAAAGUAAUUGGCGGUUGUUUUUAUUUAUUUAUUUUUUUUUGUUAAUCGUAAUUGAUUUUUUUGUUUUUUCCAUUGUUUUUUCAAUUUUUUUUUAUCUCGUGAUUCACCGGUCAUCUCUCAGGUGGCU